CAGAUUUUCAAUGGUGUGUUC
rnacentral:siRNA from 1 species